GACGCAUUUGAGUAAAAGGAAAGGAGAUUUGGUGGGUGAAGCACAUCUGUGAUACACACAGCAGAGCGUGCCCCUGCCAAGAGCACCAAGGAUUGGGUGGAGCCGAGAGCUACGUUCAGACUCAAACCCCGUUGUGAUGAUCACUCUAAGUUUAAUAUACCUUCGGGAAUCAAAUUUCAUGGAUGCAUUUGAAGAAAAAGAAUACAAAAUUUGUCCAAAGGUGAACAGUUACUUAGAAUGAUAAAGGAAGCAAUCUAUUUUUAACAAGCCGAUCAAUAUCACAACCACCACAAAAUCUAGAAACAAAGGCCAGAAUCCUGCUAGGACAUCUCUGCCUGUGGAAGGAGGGCUGGAUGGCAUACUGGGAAUGGCUUUCUAGGAUGACUUCCUGUUGCUACAGACUACAAGAAGCAUUUCUGGCCUUGAUGUUGUCUGAAUGAAGAAGACAUAGGAGUUUCACCAAAGUAUAGCUCCCUGAAACCAGAUGGAUCAUGGCAGAUGAUAGUGGCUACUCUAAACUUGACCAAGUAGCUUCCACAAUUGAAGUCCCAAGCUGGAGCCUACAGGAAUGAGGAAGCAGGAAGGGCCAGAGUGAAGUGGAAACUUUGAACUUGAAGUUGGAAGACACUGGUACUCAUCUCUUCUAUUUGCUAGCUGUAUGAUCUUGGGCAACUUAUUUAAUUUAUCUUCCUCCAGUUUACUCAUUGAUUAAAUGAAGGUAACAAUUUUAUCUCAUAGGGAUAUGGGGAUGAUCGAGAGAGAUAAUAAAA
rnacentral:lncRNA from 1 species